rnacentral:tRNA from 1 species
CGGGAUGUAGCUCAGCCCGGUAGAGUCCAUGUCUGGGGGACAUGUUGUCGCAGGUUCAAAUCCUGUCAUCCCGA